rnacentral:rRNA from 1 species
GGAUUAGAUACCCUGGUAGUCCACGCCGUAAACGAUGAGCACUAGGUGUUGCGGGUAUCGACCCCUGCAGUGCCGAAGCAAACGCAUUAAGUGCUCCGCCUGGGGAGUACGGUCGCAAGAUUAAAACUCAAAGGAAUUGACGGGGGCCCGCACAAGCGGUGGAGUAUGUGGUUUAAUUCGAUGCAACGCGAAGAACCUUACCUGGGUUUGACAUCCUUGGAAUCCAUCAGAGACGAUGGAGUGCCCUUCGGGGAGCCGAGUGACAGGUGCUGCAUGGCUGUCGUCAGCUCGUGCCG